rnacentral:lncRNA from 1 species
UAACAUAAAGAACGAACAGUGAAGGGAAUACGAAAUACCUAAAUAGGAGAAAGAAGAGGAGGACGUAAAACAAAACAGCGGAAAUUAGCAUAGCAGCGGAGUUCGAAUAGGAAUGGCCUGCCCUCUUUCUUUCUCUCUCCUAAUUUAGACAUUGAAGUAUUUCCUGUGAUGGGUCUGGAAAAUAGUUACCUUUGUAUAAAGCUACCAACUGUAUUUUUUUUAUUGAUGUAAGGUAAUCGAG